UACGAAGGGGGCUAGCGUUGCUCGGAAUCACUGGGCGUAAAGCGCACGUAGGCGGCUUGUUAAGUCAGGGGUGAAAUCCUGGAGCUCAACUCCAGAACUGCCUUUGAUACUGGCGAGCUUGAGUUCGGGAGAGGUGAGUGGAACUGCGAGUGUAGAGGUGAAAUUCGUAGAUAUUAGGAAGAACACCAGUGGCGAAGGCGGCUCACUGGCUCGGUACUGACGCUGAGGCGCGAAAGCGUGGGGAGCAAACAGG
rnacentral:rRNA from 1 species